rnacentral:rRNA from 1 species
UACGUAGGGGGCAAGCGUUGUCCGGAAUCAUUGGGCGUAAAGAGCGUGUAGGCGGCCCGGUAAGUCCGCUGUGAAAGUCCAGGGCUCAACCCCGGGAUGCCGCCCGAGACUGCUCGGCUUGAGGACGGAAGAGGGGCGUGGAAUUCCUGGUGUAGCGGUGAAAUGCGUAGAGAUCAGGAGGAACACCGGUGGCGAAGGCGGCAUCCUGGACCAACACUGACGCUGAGUGAGCGAAAGCCAGGGGAGCAAACGGG